UACAGAGGUGGCAAGCGUUGUUCGGAAUUACUGGGCGUAAAGCGCACGUAGGUGGCGACGUAAGUCGGGUGUGAAAGCCCCGGGCUCAACCUGGGAAUUGCAUUCGAGACUGCAUUGCUGGAGUACGGAAGAGGAAGGCGGAAUUCCCGGUGUAGCGGUGAAAUGCGUAGAUAUCGGGAGGAACAUCAGUGGCGAAGGCGGCCUUCUGGUCCAGUACUGACACUCAAGUGCGAAAGCGUGGGGAGCAAACAGG
rnacentral:rRNA from 1 species